AGAGGAAGUAAAAGUCGUAACAAGGUCUCCGUUGGUGAACCAGCGGAGGGAUCAUUACUGAGUUUACGCUCUAUAACCCUUUGUGAACAUACCUAUAACUGUUGCUUCGGCGGGUAGGGUCUCCGUGACCCUCCCGGCCUCCCGCCCCCGGGCGGGUCGGCGCCCGCCGGAGGAUAACCAAACUCUGAUUUAACGACGUUUCUUCUGAGUGGUACAAGCAAAUAAUCAAAACUUUUAACAACGGAUCUCUUGGUUCUGGCAUCGAUGAAGAACGCAGCGAAAUGCGAUAAGUAAUGUGAAUUGCAGAAUUCAGUGAAUCAUCGAAUCUUUGAACGCACAUUGCGCCCGCCAGCAUUCUGGCGGGCAUGCCUGUUCGAGCGUCAUUUCAACCCUCAAGCUCUGCUUGGUGUUGGGGCCCUACAGCUGAUGUAGGCCCUCAAAGGUAGUGGCGGACCCUCCCGGAGCCUCCUUUGCGUAGUAACUUUACGUCUCGCACUGGGAUCCGGAGGGACUCUUGCCGUAAAACCCCCAAUUUUCCAAAGGUUGACCUCGGAUCAGGUAGGAAUACCCGCUGAACUUAAGCAUAUCAA
rnacentral:rRNA from 1 species